AACACUAAUUAAAUAAGAGAAUAUUCUUAAAUAACAGAUAACAGAUUUAUUAGUGUUUCAAAAAAAAGGAUACUGGUUUAUUCAUUUGUCUUAAAAUCCCAACAAAUUUAUUCAUUAAUUAAAUAGCUAAACAAUUUACGCACUUAAUCAAGAUGCCACGUCCACAUAUAAGCAAAUAAUACAUUGUUAUCACUAGAAAAAUAUGUCUUACAUUUGUGUA
rnacentral:lncRNA from 1 species